GGAAAUCAAUGAUGUACAUGACAAGCAACAGUGGGCCCAGCAUCAAUCCCUGUGCACAUCACUGAUUACAAGGCUCCAAUGUGAAAAACAACCCUCCAUUACCCCCUCUGAU